rnacentral:rRNA from 1 species
UACGGAGGGGGCUAGCGUUGUUCGGAAUUACUGGGCGUAAAGCGCACGUAGGCGGCUUGUUAAGUCAGGGGUGAAAUCCUGGAGCUCAACUCCGGAACUGCCUUUGAUACUGGCAAGCUAGAGUCCGGAAGAGGUAAGUGGAACUCCUAGUGUAGAGGUGGAAUUCGUAGAUAUUAGGAAGAACACCAGUGGCGAAGGCGGCUUACUGGUCCGGAACUGACGCUGAGGUGCGAAAGCGUGGGGAGCAAACAGG